rnacentral:rRNA from 1 species
UGCAAGUCGAACGAGACCUUCGGGUCUAGUGGCGCACGGGUGCGUAACGCGUGGGAAUCUGCCCUUGGGUUCGGAAUAACAGUUGGAAACGACUGCUAAUACCGGAUGAUGACGUAAGUCCAAAGAUUUAUCGCCCAGGGAUGAGCCCGCGUAGGAUUAGCUAGUUGGUGAGGUAAAGGCUCACCAAGGCGACGAUCCUUAGCUGGUCUGAGAGGAUGAUCAGCCACACUGGGACUGAGACACGGCCCAGACUCCUACGGGAGGCAGCAGUGGGGAAUAUUGGACAAUGGGCGAAAGCCUGAUCCAGCAAUGCCGCGUGUGUGAUGAAGGCCUUAGGGUUGUAAAGCUCUUUUACCCGGGAUGAUAAUGACAGUACCGGGAGAAUAAGCUCCGGCUAACUCCGUGCCAGCAGCCGCGGUAAUACGGAGGGAGCUAGCGUUGUUCGGAAUUACUGGGCGUAAAGCGCACGUAGGCGGCGAUCUAAGUCAGAGGUGAAAGCCCGGGGCUCAACCCCGGAAUAGCCUUUGAGACUGGAUUGCUUGAAUCCAGGAGAGGUGAGUGGAAUUCCGAGUGUAGAGGUGAAAUUCGUAGAUAUUCGGAAGAACACCAGUGGCGAAGGCGGCUCACUGGACUGGUAUUGACGCUGAGGUGCGAAAGCGUGGGGAGCA